rnacentral:lncRNA from 1 species
GUAAGUUCUCAGUACUAUGAUGAUUCCUUUGUCCUCAGCUCCUCUGGCUCCAACACUUAGGGUAAGUAAGUAGCUAGUUACAGGGAACAGAGCCCUGUGUUUAAUGUGAACUUGGCUCUGUACUACUUUGCUUUGUCAAAUCUAUUAGAAAUAUAGCCAAUGAAUUCUUCACUCUAGUUCUAAAUUUUGGAGCACUUUUUAAUCUAAUUGGCAUAGAGUUCUUGAUCUACCUCUUAUUAGCUGGACAACCUUUUAAAAUACUCUCUAAGACGCCAUUUACUCAUCUGUAUAAAAAAAGUUUAAUGCAGGAAUCAGAAAUCACCAUAGGAAUUUUGAGGCACAAAGGGAGUUAAUACUGGAAUUAAGUACUUUAAAAAUUAUUGGAAGGGCUGAAGGCAGGACUCUAGAUUGAGUAUGUAGAAAUGACUCCUGAAACAUCGCAGAUAAUCAUGUGAC